rnacentral:piRNA from 1 species
UCCUAUCAGCAACGAGUUUGUCCAGGCUA